GUGCCCGCUGAGGCGAGCGGAGCUGUGUGAGGCAGGUAGCGCGGGUUCCUGCCCGGCUCGGCUCCUCGCGGCCCCCGCCCCCCGGUUGGGCCCGAUCCCGCAGCGGCCGCCGGAGCUGGGAGGCCGCCUGCGCCGCGGGCCAGGGCCCCGACUUCCCCAGGCCCGGGCCCCGACUUCCCCAGGCCCGGGCCCCUUCCGCCCCGGGCCCGGUCCCGCCGGUCCCCCCGCCCAGCUCUCGGGGCAGCCGCGCUGGGGUGAGCUGAGGGCCCGGACUCAGGCUUAUGCAACGUCCCUGCCCCCGCUCGCCUCGCGCUGCCCCCCGCUGCCGGCCGGGGGGGCGGGCGGACCUGCUCGGGCCUUGUGUUGCAGCCGGCCCCGGCUCGGCCCCCCGGCUUGCCCGACUGGCCCGCUGAGCCUGCCGCAGGGGCCCGGGGCUGCUGGGGCAGCGGUGGGGGUCCUGCCUGGGGGGCCGCACUCCCCAGCGCCUCGCCAUGGCCGGCGCCAUCGCCUCUCGGAUGAGCUUCAGCUCCCUGAAGAGGAAACAGCCCAAAACCUUCACCGUGCGGAUUGUGACCAUGGACGCCGAGAUGGAGUUCAACUGCGAGGUGAAGUGGAAAGGGAAGGAUUUGUUCGACUUGGUAUGCAGGACACUCGGACUUAGAGAAACCUGGUUCUUUGGACUUCAGUACACGAUCAAGGAUACAGUGGCCUGGCUCAAAAUGGACAAGAAGGUCCUGGAUCAUGACGUUCCAACAGAGGAGCCGGUCACUUUUCACUUCCUUGCCAAAUUUUACCCUGAGAAUGCGGAGGAGGAGCUGGUUCAGGAGAUCACACAGCACUUGUUCUUUCUGCAGGUAAAGAAGCAGAUUUUAGAUGAGAAGAUCUACUGUCCUCCUGAGGCAUCUGUGCUGCUGGCCUCCUAUGCUGUCCAAGCCAAGUAUGGUGAUUACGAUCCCACUGUUCAUCAGCGUGGCUUCUUAGCACAAGAGGAGUUGCUUCCAAAACGGGUAAUUAACCUGUACCAGAUGACUCCAGAAAUGUGGGAGGAAAGAAUAACAGCCUGGUAUGCAGAACAUCGAGGCAGGGCAAGAGAUGAAGCUGAAAUGGAAUAUCUGAAGAUCGCUCAGGACUUGGAGAUGUAUGGAGUAAACUACUUCGCGAUUAGGAAUAAGAAGGGCACUGAGCUGUUGCUUGGGGUUGAUGCACUGGGGCUUCACAUCUACGACCCAGAAAACAGGCUGACCCCCAAAAUCUCUUUUCCAUGGAACGAGAUUCGGAAUAUCUCUUACAGUGAUAAGGAGUUUACAAUUAAGCCAUUGGACAAAAAGAUCGAUGUCUUUAAAUUCAAUUCAUCAAAGCUGCGUGUGAAUAAGCUGAUUCUUCAGCUGUGUAUUGGAAACCACGAUCUAUUCAUGAGGAGGAGGAAGGCAGACUCGUUGGAGGUCCAGCAGAUGAAAGCACAAGCCAGGGAGGAGAAGGCCAGAAAGCAGAUGGAACGUCAGCGGCUGGCUCGAGAGAAGCAGAUGAGGGAAGAGGCAGAGCGAACAAGGGAUGAGUUGGAGAGGAGGUUGUUGCAGUUAAAGGAGGAGGCGACAAUGGCCAAUGAGGCUCUGAUGAGAUCUGAAGAGACAGCAGACUUGCUGGCUGAAAAAGCCCAGAUCACAGAAGAGGAAGCCAAGCUGCUGGCUCAGAAAGCAGCUGAGGCGGAGCAGGAGAUGCAGCGGAUCAAAGCCACGGCAAUCCGGACAGAGGAAGAGAAACGGUUGAUGGAACAGAAGGUCCUGGAGGCAGAGAUGUUGGCGUUGAAGAUGGCAGAAGAAUCGGAGAGAAGGGCAAAGGAGGCUGAUCAGCUAAAGCAGGAUCUUCAGGAGGCUCGAGAGUCCGAGCGGAGAGCAAAGCAGAAGCUCUUGGAGAUCACCAGCAAGUCAUCCUACAUGCAGCCCAUGAACUCAGGUAUGACAGCGCUGCCUGCUGACCUGCCAAGUUUCAGCCUCAUCAGUGAGAGCCUCUCCUUUGACUUCAAAGAUACAGACAUGAAGAGACUUUCCAUGGAAAUAGAGAAAGAGAAAGUGGAGUACAUGGAGAAGAGCAAGCACCUGCAGGAGCAACUGAACGAAUUGAAGACCGAGAUUGAGGCGCUGAAACUGAAGGAGAGGGAGACAGCGCUGGAUAUACUGCACAACGAGAAUGCCGACCGAGGCAACAGCAAGCACAACACUAUUAAAAAGCCUCAAGCCCAAGGCAGAAGACCUAUCUGCAUUUGAGACUUCAAAUGUCUAGCCAUAACCGAGCAUAUGUCUGUGAAGGUUGUCCACUGCUGUAAACAUUUCUUCAUGGGAAGUCCAGGACAGAUUGGCCUAGAGCAGCUCACCUUGCAGAGCACCAAGUCCCGCGUGGCCUUCUUCGAGGAGCUGUAGGAGGUGACCCAACCAUCGUGCACUGCUGCUUCCAGCGAGCCAGCCACUUGCCAGCCAGAACCUUCUUCAGCAAGGCCAUGUAGGCACAUCCCAAUGGCUGGGGAUGGAGCCCCUCUACCUGCUGGCUGGGUGCAUUCUGGGAUAUGAUGCUGCUCCUGUGCAAUGGACUUGGUCCGUCAGCAGUCCAUGGAUUUCAGCGUGAUGUUCUCUAGUUUAGUCUAUCCUAAUCCCCCUUGUAGGUUUUUAACUAGCUACCCUCUUCUGCCAUUUAUAAUGCAGAGCUGUGGUAUCCCUUGCAGUCUUUUUAAGCAGCAUUUGUAUUUGGUUGUGACUGUCGUGUGACCUCCUGGGAGAUGGUGAGCAGGCGUGUGUGCCUUGGAAGGGGUGCCUUUCCCUUCCGGCCCUGCUUUAGGGAAUGCCACAAAUAAUGUGCGCUCCUGCAGGCUGAGCUUUGGUGCCUUUGGCAGUUCGGGAGCCAGGGGGUGGGAUGUGUGCUACUCUCGUCAGACCCCCAAACCUUGCAGUACUUCUGCCUGACUUUCAGGGGGGCUGAGUACCGGUGGACUCAUUGGUGACACACCCAUUGAUGUAAUGGAAUGCUGUAAAUCGGGGGGUAUAGCCUCACCUAGGAGAGCGUGGUUAGGUCUGGUCUUCCCGCCUGUUAGAGGAUCUAACAGACAUAGAAGGGGUUCAGAGAUACGCCGUGGGAAUAGGUUUGGAAUGACUUCUGUACGAGGAGAGAUUGAAAAGACUCUGGCUGUUUACCUUAGAGAGUUGCCGCAUAGAGGGGACAUUACAAAGGUGUGCAAACUAAUGUAUGGGAUGGAGAAGGUAGAUCUACCCUCUCUGGUGUGACCUAAGAGCAAGGGUAUAGUCAAGGAAACUGAAAAGUGGGCUAUUCGGCACUGAUCAAAGGAAAUACUUUCCCACACAGUGUGCAAUGAGCCUCUGGAACUCCUUGCUACAAGAUUCUAUUGACACCAAGAAAUUUGCAGGAUUAGAUCUUUGUCUGGAUACAAAAACAGCCAGAAAUCUAGCAGUGAACAUUUAAAAAGUGAAGGGAUAUGAACCUUCAUGCUUGUACCUAGAAGCUGACCUCUAAAUAAUGUAAAUCAGGAGGGAAUUUCCUCUGUGCCUUGGUCAUCCCAUAGCUACCUACUAUAGCCUUCUUUUCACUUUCCUCUGAAGUAUCUGGCACUGGCCACUGCUGGAGAUGGGCUAGAUGGACCAUGGGUCUGAUCCACUAUGUCAGUUCCUGUUCAUGGGAGCUGCAUGUGCUCAGCCUCUCUGUACAUCACCUCCCUUGCUCCGUUUUGACUCCUCUGGUAGAGUGGUAACCAGCACCCCAUGAGCUGGGGCUCCACUGAGAGCAGUUCCAGUAUCUCUUUGCUGCUGAGUCCUGUUCAGCAAUGUUCUUUCUAAUUUUUGACAGGCCAUGUGCCCCAAAAAUUUCUUCUGUGCACAUUUUUGUGCGUGCGGUGUUUUGCCGUGUGCGUGGGGUUUAGGAUCUGUGUGCACGCGCACAGCUUAGAGGGAGCAGUGCUGUUGUGUGAGAGUGGCAGGAGCAGCCUUGCUCUGGCUGGGGCAGAGUCUGUGGUUUCCAGUCCCUGAAGGAGCAUGCUGUGAACACUCAUGCGUCCUGUGCCUGCCGUGAGACAGAGCCAAGCAACAGGGCUGAGGUACUAAAGCCGCCAAGGUGACGUUGGCUGCUAAAUGAAGUAGCUCUCUCCUAGUGAGGGACUCUAGACAGCUAUGUCGAAGAAGUCAGUGGCAUCCUCAGCUCUUGAAAGGGCCUAGGUUUGCUGCCUUGGGAGGAGAGGGGUAGCUCCUGGCACAUGCUUUGUCACCCCCCCGCCUCCUUUGCCAGUGCUAGCCCCUGUCCUGCCCUGUUUUGUAUUCUCUGGGGGAUGAGUGGGGAGAGGUGCUAGAAAUCACUUACAAUUUAUCUUCUAGGUGCUGGAAGUAGGGGGGCUGCCGCACCCCCUGGCUUGAAGUAGUUUCCACUAUAUCCAGGGUUUAUAGUUUGGUUCAAUGCCUCCCAGCACCCCCACUAUACAAAUUUUUCCAGCACCACUGUUGGCAGCCCCUCAUAUAAUGCACUUAUGAGCUAUUGGGCCCUGCCUUUGUGUAAUGGCCUCUGGUCUACCCCCCCCGCCCCCCCCCGCGCGCACCACCACCACACACAUUCUACCUACCCAUAGGCAGCUAUUAUCCCAUAAGCUCACCCCUUUGCUGUUCUGUGUUUUGUCCUGCCCCAGCAUAAAGCUUUCAUGUCCUGGUGGUUAUAUUAAUUACAUCUAAAGAAAUACACUAUUCAACCCUUAAAUGCUGCUGUUUCCCAGACUGCCAGCCAGUUCGAACGGUGCAGCUUCUAAAGGGUUAAUCCAGGUGCUCUCCUGGAAUGCACAGUGUCAGCUAAGGCCCAGGUUUAAAGCAGGAUCUUUCCUGUGACUUGGGGACACUUGGAGUGUAGGGAAGCAUGAUUCCUCUCUGUGCAAACAGCAUCGACUCCCCAUGUCCUCUUGUCGAUGCUGCAAGGACAAGUGUUAGGCAGGUCUCCUGCCGGACAAGUGCUUCAGUGUCAUACCAAUGGCUGGUCUUUAAUCCCACCUACCCAUACAGCCUGAAGUCUAGAGAGGGAGCUUCUCACACAUAUACCACCCUCAAGUGUUAAUGCCAUGAUGCUAAAUGUUUGUGUAUCUUUUGUAUAAAUGUUCUUUGCCACCCUAGAGAGCAGGAAGAACACCCAAUGGUCCCAGCAGAAACCCCAUUGCUACCUGGAGGGCUGUCUCACAGGUUGGAGCAGGCUGCAAAGUUGCAAUAACAUUGGGUGACGGAUUAGCUUUUCUCCUGAGCUGGCUCAGUUCAGGUGGCUCGGAUUAAGUCCUGCUCGGAGUCUCCAUCCUAAAUCCUACUUUUUAGGGGGUUUACAGAUCAGCUGUUAACACUCCCUUGAGGCUAUAACCUCAGCAGAUCUGGGCUUGGCUUAGGAGCAGAGAGAUGCUAAAUUUAAAGGGGAAAAACUGUUAAGCCAUUUUCAAGUUAUAAGAGCAGAAAAGUGACCUGAGGUGAGGGGUUGAUUUCCAGGCUUGGCUGUGGGGCACAAUACAGCUUUUGCAGGAAACUGCAGGCAUGUAUUGCAUUGAUCUGUAGCACAUCCCUCUGGCCAAUUCAAGAAGAGCUCUUGCCUAGCUCUGAGGGUGCCCUAAGUGGUCCUCCACUCUAGAGGGGGCAUUGUGAGAUAAGACAGUAAAGGAACAAAAGGGAAGAGGGGGAACAAAAUCUUUUAAUUAAAAGGUGCUUUUCCAUCGAUCAGUCUCUCUCCCUGCUCGUUUCUCUCCCUAGUGACUCAGUGUUAGUUAUGUUUACUGCCCCUGUGAAAGGUUGGGCUAGUGCCCUUGGGGUGAUCGAAGGGCUACACAGAACCAGCAGCCAUUUCAGCUUGAAAUAGUGACUCCUAGCCCCAGUGAGUCAAUGGGAAUUCAGUGGAGCCAGGAUUGCACCCAGAGUUUGCAGCCAUUUCAUUGGUGCUAGUUAGAAACACACAUUUCAUGCUAGCGUUUUACAUAUACACGUAGGUCCAGAUCCUCAAAGGUAUUUCGGUUCCUAACUUCCAUUGAUUUCAGUGGAAGUUAGGAGCCUAAAUACCUUUGAGGAUCUGGGCCUUAGACCAUGGUCCUGCAGCUACGUAUACAUAUGGCCAACUUUGAGAUUAUGCCUAAUUCCGGUGAAGUCAAGCCUGAUUUUAAGCUGGAUCCAGAUUGCAGUUUAUCUUAUCGAUGCUUGAGGUUUACAGUAGAGCAGCUACAUGGCUGGCUGGGUAUAAAUUGCUGGAAUCGGGCCAAAUUCCCACUGGAGCUGAGGCCAAUGAGGAUUUCUUUCCCCACCCCUCCCCUUCUUAAAUCCAGCACUGGCCUCACACAAGAGCCAGGGGUCUCCCACGGAGAUUAACAGGCAGCCGGUUUAAAACAAAUAUAAGGAAGAACUUCUUCACAUAGCACACAGUCAGUCCGUGGAACUCAUCAGGAAAUGUUGUGAUGGCCAAAAUGGGGCCUGGGUUCAAUAAAGAAUUUGGUAAAUUCAUGGAGGAUUGGUCCAUCAAUGGCCAUUAGCCAAGAUGGUUAGGGAUUAAGCCCCAUACUGCGGGUGUCUGUAAGCCUCUGACUGCCAGAUGCUGAGACUGGCCCAUGGGAUGGGCUCACUCAGUACCUGUCCUAUACCAUUCAUUGCCUCUGAAGCCUCUGGUACAGGUCACUGUCAGAGACAGGACACUAGGCUAGAUGGACCAUUGGUCUGACCCCCUAUGGCCGUUCUUAUUUAACACUAGCAAUCGUGUCCUCGCUGCCCACUCUCAGCAAUGCUGAGCAAACACUAAUGGUCUGUCUUUAACCCACCCAAUUCACUUGCCUUUAUUUUACUUUUUUCAACAGCCUGGUUUAAUCACAGAGAGCUGAAUCUAGUCCUGUGGUGACUUCAGUCGAGUUAUGGACAGGGUGGAUUUGACCCAGAGUCAGCCCUUGGCUCGGCAUAGUACAGGUGUUCUCAAACUUUUGUACUGGUGACCCCUUUCACAUAGCAAGCCUCUGAGUGCGACCCCCCCUUAUAAAUUAAAAACACUUUUUUAUAUAUUUAACACCAUUAUAAAUGUUGGAUGCAAAGCGGGGUUUGGGGUGGAGGCUGACAGCUCGUGACCCUGCCAUGUAAUAACCUCACAACCCCCUGAGGGGUCCUGACCAUAGAACCCCUGGUAUAGUAUAUCCUGGCUUUUAUCAGAUCACACCCUUGAAUCCUUUUAUUUAAAAGGUCCCUGAUGUGCAUUGAGUCUCCUCCCAUUUGGAAGUGUAUGUGUCUGAAAUUCAGAUGGAUAAAGCAGUCUUUUCCUUGGGAUGGGGUCUGGGACAGAAAGGCCUUUUUUUUUCUAUUCCCGUGGAUUGUUAUAUUCUGAAGAUACCAUUGUUUUCUCAUGUGUUUUAAUAAAAAUUGAAAGCAGUUGGA